UACGUAGGGGGCAAGCGUUGUCCGGAAUCAUUGGGCGUAAAGAGCGUGUAGGCGGCCCGGUAAGUCCGCUGUGAAAGUCCAGGGCUCAACCCUGGGAUGCCGGUGGAUACUGUCGGGCUCGAGUCCGGAAGAGGAGUGUGGAAUUCCUGGUGUAGCGGUGAAAUGCGCAGAUAUCAGGAGGAACACCAAUGGCGAAGGCAGCACUCUGGGACGUGACUGACGCUGCGACGCGAAAGCGUGGGGAGCAAACAGG
rnacentral:rRNA from 1 species